GGUUCCAUAGUGUAGCGGAUAGCACGUCUGCUUUACACGCAGAAGGUCCUCGGUUUGGGCCCCAGUGGAGCCA
rnacentral:tRNA from 1 species